rnacentral:rRNA from 1 species
GAUGAACGCUGGCGGCGUGCCUAAUACAUGCAAGUCGAGCGAACAGACGAGGAGCUUGCUCCUCUGACGUUAGCGGCGGACGGGUGAGUAACACGUGGAUAACCUACCUAUAAGACUGGGAUAACUUCGGGAAACCGGAGCUAAUACCGGAUAAUAUAUUGAACCGCAUGGUUCAAUAGUGAAAGACGGUUUUGCUGUCACUUAUAGAUGGAUCCGCGCCGCAUUAGCUAGUUGGUAAGGUAACGGCUUACCAAGGCAACGAUGCGUAGCCGACCUGAGAGGGUGAUCGGCCAUACUGGAACUGAGACACGGUCCAGACUCCUACGGGAGGCAGCAGUAGGGAAUCUUCCGCAAUGGGCGAAAGCCUGACGGAGCAACGCCGCGUGAGUGAUGAAGGUCUUCGGAUCGUAAAACUCUGUUAUUAGGGAAGAACAAAUGUGUAAGUAACUAUGCACGUCUUGACGGUACCUAAUCAGAAAGCCACGGCUAACUACGUA